rnacentral:rRNA from 1 species
GGGUAAGGAGGCGAACCGGGGGAACUGAAACAUCUAAGUACCCCGAGGAAAAGAAAUCAACCGAGAUUCCGAAAGUAGCGGCGAGCGAAAUUGGACUAGCCCUUAAGCUUUACACGCGUUAGACGAACGGUCUGGAAAGUCCGACGAUACAGGGUGAUAGUCCCGUAGUUGACGACGUGUGUUCAGUGAAAUCGAGUAGGGCGGGACACGUGAUAUCCUGUCUGAAUAUGGGGGGACCAUCCUCCAAGGCUAAAUACUACUGACUGACCGAUAGUGAACCAGUACCGUGAGGGAAAGGCGAAAAGAACCCCUGUGAGGGGAGUGAAAUAGAACCUGAAACCGUGUACGUACAAGCAGUAGGAGCAGGCUUUGUCCUGUGACUGCGUACCUUUUGUAUAAUGGGUCAGCGACUUAUAUUCAGUGGCAAGGUUAACCAUCUAGGGGAGCCGUAGGGAAACCGAGUCUUAACUGGGCGUUCAGUCUCUGGAUAUAGACCCGAAACCAGGUGAUCUAGCCAUGGGCAGGUUGAAGGUUGAGUAACAUCAACUGGAGGACCGAACCGACUAAUGUUGAAAAAUUAGCGGAUGACUUGUGGCUAGGGGUGAAAGGCCAAUCAAACCUGGAGAUAGCUGGUUCUCCCCGAAAGCUAUUUAGGUAGCGCCUCGGACGAAUACUACUGGGGGUAGAGCACUGUUAAGGCUAGGGGGUCAUCCCGACUUACCAACCCUUUGCAAACUCCGAAUACCAGUAAGUACUAUCCGGGAGACACACGGCGGGUGCUAACGUCCGUCGUGGAGAGGGAAACAACCCAGACCGCCAGCUAAGGUCCCAAAUUACUACUAAGUGGGAAACGAUGUGGGAAGGCUCAGACAGCCAGGAUGUUGGCUUAGAAGCAGCCAUCAUUUAAAGAAAGCGUAAUAGCUCACUGGUCGAGUCGGCCUGCGCGGAAGAUGUAACGGGGCUAAGUA